CAGUCGCCGCGGGAAUACGUAGGGUGCGAGCGUUAAUCGGAAUUACUGGGCGUAAAGCGUGCGCAGGCGGUUGUGUAAGACAGGUGUGAAAUCCCCGGGCUUAACCUGGGAACUGCGCUUGUGACUGCACAGCUAGAGUAUGGCAGAGGGGGGUGGAAUUCCACGUGUAGCAGUGAAAUGCGUAGAUAUGCGGAGGAACACCGAUGGCGAAGGCAAUCCCCUGGGCCUGCACUGACGCUCAUGCACGAAAGCGUGGGGAGCAAACAGGAUUAGAUACCCCCGUAGUCCCUGUCUCUUAUAC
rnacentral:rRNA from 1 species